UACGUAGGGGGCUAGCGUUGUCCGGAAUCAUUGGGCGUAAAGCGCGUGUAGGCGGUCCGGUAAGUCCGCUGUGAAAGUCGGGGGCUCAACCCUCGGAUGCCGGUGGAUACUGUCGGGCUCGAGUACGGGAGAGGCGAGUGGAAUUCCUGGUGUAGCGGUGAAAUGCGUAGAUAUCGGGAGGAACAUCAGUGGCGAAAGCGGCUUCCUGGACCAGUACCGACGUUCAGGCACGAAAGCGUGGGGAGCAAACAGG
rnacentral:rRNA from 1 species